GACGAACGCUGGCGGCGUGCUUAACACAUGCAAGUCGAACGGAAAGGCCCUGCUUGCAGGGUACUCGAGUGGCGAACGGGUGAGUAACACGUGGGUGAUCUGCCCUGCACUUCGGGAUAAGCCUGGGAAACUGGGUCUAAUAUCGGAUAGGAGCCAUUUUUAGUGUGAUGGUUGGAAAGUUUUUUCGGUGUAGGAUGAGCUCGCGGCCUAUCAGCUUGUUGGUGGGGUAAUGGCCUACCAAGGCGGCGACGGGUAGCCGGCCUGAGAGGGUGGACGGCCACAUUGGGACUGAGAUACGGCCCAGACUCCGACGGGAGGCAGCAGUGGGGAAUAUUGCACAAUGGGCGCAAGCCUGAUGCAGCGACGCCGCGUGGGGGAGGACGGCCUUCGGGUUGUAAACUCCUUUCGCUAGGGACGAAGCUUUUUGUGACGGUACCUAGAGAAGAAGCACCGGCUAACUACGUG
rnacentral:rRNA from 1 species